AGAGACAGCAGUCGCCACGGUAAUACGUAGGUCCCGAGCGUCGUCCGGAUUUAUUGGGCGUAAAGCGAGCGCAGGCGGUUAGAUAAGUCUGAAGUUAAAGGCUGUGGCUUAACCAUAGUACGCUUUGGAAACUGUUUAACUUGAGUGCAAGAGGGGAGAGUGGAAUUCCAUGUGUAGCGGUGAAAUGCGUAGAUAUAUGGAGGAACACCGGUGGCGAAAGCGGCUCUCUGGCUUGUAACUGACGCUGAGGCUCGAAAGCGUGGGGAGCAAACAGGAUUAGAUACCCGAGUAGUCCCUGUCUCUUAUACA
rnacentral:rRNA from 1 species